UACGAAGGGGGCUAGCGUUGUUCGGAAUUACUGGGCGUAAAGCGCGCGCAGGCGGCUAUCCAAGUCAGUGGUGAAAGCCCGGAGCUCAACUCCGGAACUGCCAUUGAAACUGUUUAGCUUGAGGAUGAGAGAGGUGAGUGGAAUUCCCAGUGUAGAGGUGAAAUUCGUAGAUAUCAGGAGGAACACCGGUGGCGAAAGCGGCUCACUGGACCAUAACUGACGCUGAUGCACGAAAGCUAGGGGAGCAAACAGG
rnacentral:rRNA from 1 species